CUGAGUCAAGGCCAGCCUGGUCUACAGAGCAAGUUCCAGGACAGCCAGGGCUACACAGACAAACCCUGUUUUAAGAGAUAAAAGAGCAGCAGAGGGAGUAUGAAUCUUGAGCUGAAAGAGGUAUCACAUCCUAAAGCCACAGAUAACAGAGGAGGUGACUUUCAAAUUCAAGGCCAACUCAAGCAUUUUCAAUUGGACCAUGCCGCCACACCAACAGACAACACGGCCCAAUGACUGGGACUGAAACCAACGCAGAGGGAUGUGUCACUUACUUGCCUUCCAUCCUGCCCCACAUUUGUCUGACCUCUUACGACAGUCCGGAUAUUGUCAUCCAGUCUCCUGGCCAAAAGAAUAAAAAUCAGAGGUUGUUUUGAAGUGCUCGUGCCUGGUUUCUGCUAGGCCAGCAUUCUAUCACCGAGCAACACCCCAUGCUCUCUGU